AAAACGACUUCGGCAACGGAUAUCUCGGCUCUCGCAUCGAUGAAGAACGUAGCGAAAUGCGAUACUUGGUGUGAAUUGCAGAAUCCCGUGAACCAUCGAGUCUUUGAACGCAAGUUGCGCCCGAAGCCCAUUAGGCGAGGGCACGUCUGCUGGGCGUCACAC
rnacentral:rRNA from 1 species